CUCCCGGUUGAUCCUGCCGGACCCGACUGCUAUCAGAGUGGGACUAAGCCAUGCGAGUCGACGUAGCAAUGCGUGGCGAACGGCUCAGUAACACGUAGUCAACAUGCCCAGGGGACGUGGAUAACCUCGGGAAACUGAGAAUAAACCACGAUAGGUCACGAUUUCUGGAAUGGAUCAUGGCCUAAAUCUACAUGGCCCCUGGAUUGGACUGCGGCCGAUCAGGCUGUUGGUGAGGUAAUGGCCCACCAAACCUAUAACCGGUACGGGCUCUGAGAGGAGAAGCCCGGAGAUGGGCACUGAGACAAGGGCCCAGGCCCUAUGGGGCGCAGCAGGCGCGAAACCUCUGCAAUAGGCGAAAGCCUGACAGGGUUACUCUGAGCGAUUUCCGCUAAGGGGAUCUUUUGGCACCUCUAAAAAUGGUGUAGAAUAAGGGGCGGGCAAGUCUGGUGUCAGCCGCCGCGGUAAUACCAGCACCCCGAGUGGUCGGGACGAUUAUUGGGCCUAAAGCAUCCGUAGCCGGUUCCGCAAGUCUUCCGUUAAAUCCAGCCGCUCAACGGAUGGGCCGCGGAGGAUACUACAGGACUAGGAGGCGGGAGAGGCAAGCGGUACUCAGUGGGUAGGGGUAAAAUCCUUUGAUCCAUUGAAGACCACCAGUGGCGAAGGCGGCUUGCCAGAACGCGCUCGACGGUGAGGGAUGAAAGCUGGGGGAGCAAACCGGAUUAGAUACCCGGGUAGUCCCAGCUGUAAACGAUGCAGACUCGGUGAUGGGCUAGCCUUGUGCCAGCCCAGUGCCGCAGGGAAGCCGUUAAGUCUGCAGCCUGGGCAGUACGGUCGCAAGACUGAAACUUAAAGGAAAAGGCGGGGGAGCA
rnacentral:rRNA from 1 species